rnacentral:rRNA from 1 species
AGAGUUUGAUCCUGGCUGAGAGUGAACGCUGGCGGCGUGCUUAACACAUGCAAGUCGAACGAGAACGGGUUAAAGCUUGCUUUAACUGUCAGCUAAGUGGCGCACGGGUGAGUAAUAUAUAGGUAACGUGCCUUCAAGAAGGGGAUAACAAUUGGAAACGAUUGCUAAUACCCUAUAUGCCUUUAAGUCUUAAGACUGCAAGGGAAAUAUUUAUAGCUUGAAGAUCGGCCUGUACAGUAUCAGUUAGUUGGUGAGGUAAUGGCUCACCAAGACAAUGACGCUUAACUGGUUUGAGAGGAUGAUCAGUCACACUGGAACUGAGACACGGUCCAGACUCCUACGGGAGGCAGCAGUGGGGAAUAUUGCACAAUGGACGAAAGUCUGAUGCAGCAACGCCGCGUGGAGGAUGACACAUUUCGGUGCGUAAACUCCUUUUAUAUAGGAAGAUAAUGACGGUACUAUAUGAAUAAGCACCGGCUAACUCCGUGCCAGCAGCCGCGGUAAUACGGAGGGUGCAAGCGUUACUCGGAAUCACUGGGCGUAAAGAGAAUGUAGGCGGGUAGAUAAGUUUGAAGUGAAAUCCAAUGGCUCAACCAUUGAACUGCUUUGAAAACUGUUUACCUAGAAUAUGGGAGAGGUAGAUGGAAUUUCUGGUGUAGGGGU